UGCAUUCACUACUGUAAGUCACUCUGGAUAAGAGCGUCUUCUAAAUUACUAAAA
rfam:Salmo salar isolate Sally breed double haploid chromosome ssa17, whole genome shotgun sequence.